UACGAAGGGGGCUAGCGUUGCUCGGAAUCACUGGGCGUAAAGGGUGCGUAGGCGGGUUUUUAAGUCAGGGGUGAAAUCCUGGAGCUCAACUCCAGAACUGCCUUUGAUACUGAAGGUCUUGAGUUCGGGAGAGGUGAGUGGAACUGCGAGUGUAGAGGUGAAAUUCGUAGAUAUUCGCAAGAACACCAGUGGCGAAGGCGGCUCACUGGCCCGAUACUGACGCUGAGGCACGAAAGCGUGGGGAGCAAACAGG
rnacentral:rRNA from 1 species